ACUAAAUUUUAAUUGCAAGUUAAAGUCGUAUCAGUUAAGUUCGCAAAAUUUGAAGUUUUCAUUUUCGAAAAUACAAUUGAAAUAUUUUCUAUAGAAUUUUUAUUUAAAAAUGGGGAAAUCUAAAAAAUACUCAAUAUUACUGAAUAAAUCGCUUCGAUUUGGUUGAUCUCGCCCAACAGGAAUCUUAAUAGAUUUCACCUUCCCGUUACAAGUCCAGUAUUGUAUUCAACUGAACUAUUGUGGCUCUUGUGCAGCACCUCACCACAACAUGUCCAGUAUCAAGCCAUUUAUGUCCAACAAAACUAUUGUGGUUUUUCCAAGCCACUUCGUUCUAAACAUUGAACAGUCCCAUAUAUUUGUCCAGAAAGAUUAUAAGUAGAAUCUACAACAAUAGUUGGACAAUGAGGAAUCGGAUCGGAAUCACACAAGUCAACGCUCCAAAAUGAUAUCUCAUUUCUUCGAAUUUGUGCAUGCACUAUUUAUAUGGACUACAGGAAAAUCUAAUAAAAAUUCCGAAAAACAAGACGACGAGGCAAAAGAGUUUUUACAAAAUGGCUGUAAUUCUGUAAUUGAGAUUGAGGCCGAAGAAGAUGAUGAAACAAAUUUGGAGGCCAUUGCAAUAAACAUGAAUAAUAAUUGUGCUGCAAAAGAAUACAUUUUUGAAUCUCAAAAAGAUGAACAACAAUCGGAGAACAGCAUAUCCAUUGUACUAAAAACACUAUCAGAACUACUAGGAAAAUGUUCAUAUCACAUUGGUUUAAUAAUCGUUAAAAUUGUAAUUAUCAUAAUAGUAUAUAUCCAAAACAAUCGAAGUGCUAAAAUCAAUAAUUAUACAACAUCAUCAUAAACAUCUUAAAAUAUAUAUGUACAUACUAUACGAUC